rnacentral:tRNA from 1 species
AAUUUUUAGUUUAAGAAAAAAUAAUAAGUUUGGAACUUAUAGAAAAUAUUAUAGAUAA